rnacentral:rRNA from 1 species
CGCAGACGGUUUAGCAAGUUUGGGGUCAAAUCCUGGAGCUCAACUCCAGUUCGCCUUGAAAACUGUUAAGCUAGAGUGUAGGAGAGGUCGAUGGAAUUCCAUGUGUAGCGGUGAAAUGCGUAGAUAUAUGGAGGAACACCAGUGGCGAAGGCGGUCGACUGGCCUAUCACUGACGUUUAGGCACGAAAGCGUAGGGAGCAAAUAGGAUUAGAUACCCUAGUAGUCUACGCCGUAAACGAUGAGUACUAAGUGUCGGACUAAGUUCGGUGCU